AGCUUCAAAGGGAUUUGAAGGGUGGUGACAGGCUCCAGCCCAGACUGCGCCUCGGAAUGCAGACGCUUCUCUGCCUAGAACCUGGCCCGGCCCUAUGGGAAAGCCCCGGUUCUCGGCGGCACUGAACUGGUAAAAAGCAGUUGCUGUGGGUUCCCUCCCUUUCUCCCCGACUCCCUGGCCAUGGGAUUCAGGAAAACAGGCAGUGAAAGGCUUCAACAGUUCCUUUCCAGUUUUCCACGGGGGCCCCAAGGAACGCCUGCGGCUGGAAUUCCCCGGGAGACAGGGAGCUGUAACAAUAGAGGUUCAUAUUCUAAAGAGAGCAGGCACUGAGCAAAUGUUUGUUGAACUGAACCAAUCUGCUAGUUAUGGGGACAUGACCUCCACUUCAUGGUGUUGAACUAAACAAACACAUACUUCUCCAGACAAAUAUUAAAACUGGUGAACUUCAAAAUAACGUGAAAAGCUCCUAUGUUUCCAUGCCUCAUUAUAUGCCACAAAAAAUCAAAUGAUAACGAGAACAAAGUAGGUUAUUUUGUUUGCUAUUUAACUUGUGUGCAGGUCUUCACAGAAUGAGAGGCAUACCAACACUCAUGACCCCAGGCUAGUUCUGUUCUUUGCCAGUGUGUGGUUUGGGAGUUCUGUGAAGUGUUUGCAGUCGCUACUAAUAAUCCAGGUGACACGGCAAACAUUGCAGUUCCUAGGUCCAGCACAAUUAGAGGAGGGUUCACUCGUAGGCAGCAUCUGAGCAACAGGCUCACCAGACUUCAGCCUCUUCACUCCGACUCUUCCACGCUCCAGCUCUCUUCAUUAAGAUAUUCUAGAAGCAACUGAGGAGUUUCUACAAACAUUUUGGAAAUUACAGUUAAGGUACGAGUUGUUCUGACUGCUGUGCAGACAUUCACACGCCCGCUGCUAGAAAGCUGGAGCUGGAAGGAGCAUUGGGGCCCGCUGAGUCCUCCUUUCUCAUGUAUGGAUGCGGAUGUGGAGGCAGGCCCUAAGUCUUAGUGUAGGUGCCGAUGGUGCAGGUGAGAAGCCCCCUGGUAACUCACUUAGUGCUCUAUCUGCUCUUCCACACUCUCCAACAUGACGUCACCGG
rnacentral:lncRNA from 1 species